rnacentral:rRNA from 1 species
UACGGGGGGGGCAAGCGUUGUUCGGAAUUACUGGGCGUAAAGGGCUCGUAGGUGGCCAACUAAGUCAGACGUUAAAUCCCUCGGCUUAACCGGGGAACUGCGUCUGAUACUGGAUGGCUUGAGUUUGGGAGAGGGAUGCGGAAUUCCAGGUGUAGCGGUGAAAUGCGUAGAUAUCUGGAGGAACACCGGUGGCGAAGGCGGCAUCCUGGACCAACACUGACACUGAGGAGCGAAAGCCAGGGGAGCAAACGGG